UCCGGUUGAUCCUGCCAGAGGCCGCUGCUAUCCGGCUGGGACUAAGCCAUGCUAGUCUAGGGGCUUGUACCCCUUCGGGGGUGCAAGCACCGGCGGACGGCUCAGUAACACGUGGACAACCUGCCCUCGGGUGGGGGAUAACCCCGGGAAACUGGGGCUAAUCCCCCAUAGGUGAUGGGUGCUGGAAUGCCCCAUCUCCGAAAGCGCUCAGCGCCCGAGGAUGGGUCUGCGGCGGAUUAGGUAGUUGGUGGGGUAACGGCCCACCAAGCCUAAGAUCCGUACGGGCUGUGGGAGCAGGAGCCCGGAGAUGGACCCUGAGACAAGGGUCCAGGCCCUACGGGGCGCAGCAGGCGCGAAACCUCCGCAAUGCGGGAAACCGCGACGGGGUUAGCCGGAGUGCCCGUGCAUUGCACGGGCUGUCGGGGUGCCUAAACAGCACCCCAUAGCAAGGGCCGGGCAAGGCCGGUGGCAGCCGCCGCGGUAAGACCGGCGGCCCGAGUGGCGGCCACUCUUAUUGGGCCUAAAGCGUCCGUAGCCGGCCCAGUAAGUCCCCCGGGAAAUCUGGUCGCUUAACGAUCAGACUUCCGGGGGAUACUGCUGGGCUAGGGACCGGGAGAGGCCGAGGGUAUUCCCGGGGUAGGGGUGAAAUCCUGUAAUCCCGGGAGGACCACCUGUG
rnacentral:rRNA from 1 species